CGACUUUUUCACUGCCAAAGUUGCUGGAAAUGCAUGACACAUUAGAUGAAUUACAAAUGACUUUGCCUCUGUUUUUCCCUGCUAAAAUAUAUCUAAUGACACUAAACUUUAACAGUGAAAAAGUUGAUCAAGAUGAGAUUUGUUACUAUGAAGAUAUAUUACAUAUUGCUAAUUGCUUCGCUUAUUAAAGUAUUUUAAGUUCUGGAAGCAGUAUAGCCUGUGUCGGUCAAAGUGAUAGUUCUAUCUUUUUGUUCAUGUUUAUGCAAACUUCUCCAGGGUGAAGAUAUAGUGAAGACAAUCAAUUUUUGGUACAAUGAAGCAACUUCAUCUCAACUACACAAAUCUUAUAAAAGAACAAAUUAUGCAAAGCAUACCCUUUCCGACAAAGGAGUUAAUAUCUAGAACAAUCUGGAUUCUACUCAUAAAAACAUCAAAUCUUAUGAUACUUUCAAAAAGAAAACUAAAAAGUACCUACUACACUCUAAUUAAAAAUUGUCGUAAUUGUAAAUAUAGCCU
rnacentral:lncRNA from 1 species